rnacentral:rRNA from 1 species
AGAGUUUGAUCCUGGCUCAGAUUGAACGCUGGCGGCAUGCCUUACACAUGUAAGUCGAACGGUAACAGGGAGCUUGCUCCGCUGACGAGUGGCGAACGGGUGAGUAAUACAUCGGAACGUGCCCAGUAAUGGGGGAUAGCUCGGCGAAAGCUGGAUUAAUACCGCAUACGCCCUGAGGGGGAAAGUGGGGGACCGCAAGGCCUCACGUUAUUGGAGCGGCCGAUGGCUGAUUAGCUAGUUGGUAGGGUAAAGGCCUACCAAGGCGACGAUCAGUAGCUGGUCUGAGAGGACGAUCAGCCACACUGGGACUGAGACACGGCCCAGACUCCUACGGGAGGCAGCAGUGGGGAAUUUUGGACAAUGGGGGAAACCCUGAUCCAGCAAUGCCGCGUGUGCGAAGAAGGCCUUCGGGUUGUAAAGCACUUUUGUCAGGGAAGAAAUCCUUUGGGCUAAUACCCUAGGGGGAUGACGGUACCUGAAGAAUAAGCACCGGCUAACUACGUGCCAGCAGCCGCGGUAAUACGUAGGGUGCAAGCGUUAAUCGGAAUUACUGGGCUUAAAGCGUGCGCAGGCGGUUGUGUAAGACAGGUGUGAAAUCCCCGGGCUUAACCUGGGAAUUGCAUUUGUGACUGCACGACUAGAGUGUGUCAGAGGGGGGUGGAAUUCCACGUGUAGCAGUGAAAUGCGUAGAUAUGUGGAGGAACACCAAUGGCGAAAGGCAGCCCCCUGGGAUAACACUGACGCUCAUGCACGAAAGCGUGGGGAGCAAACAGGAUUAGAUACCCUGGUAGUCCACGCCCUAAACGAUGUCAACUAGUUGUUGGGGAUUUACUUCCUUGGUAACGUAGCUAACGCGUGAAGUUGACCGCCUGGGG